UCCAUGUGCCAGAGCCAUGAGUUGGUUGCGAGAUCUUAUGGGUUUCACCUCUAGCCUACCCCAACUUGCUUGGGACUAAAGGCUUUGUUGUUGUUGUACCCAUUCGAAAGCGUCUACACUGCAGAAAUAGACAUUGGUGGUGGACACAGUGUGGUUGGUCUUUUGCAGAAUACAUAAGAUGAUUAUCUGGUUAGGUAUGCUGUCGUGGUGUACUGAUUGAGCAGGAAUUCAGCGGUGAAGCCGUCGGAACUUGGCGCCUUGCAUGCGGGCAGCCGCUUGAUGGCCUGCCAGAUUUCCACAACAUCAAAGGGCGCAUCGAGGUCAUCUAGGUUUGCAGGCGUGAUGAGGGUGGAGAGGUCCAGGGUGCACUCAAGGGGCACGGCGUAGCCAAGCAGGGCGUCGAAGUGCGCGUACGCCGUCGCAACCAUGUCGCUCAGGUCCGUGAUACCUCAUCUUCAACCAUUAGGUGUUGCACCAUGUUCUUUUGCCGCCAAUAGGAGCAUUGCCGGUGGUAGAAGGAUGUGUUGGCGUCCCAUCCUUAAGGGUCGCUAGGCGGGCACGUUGGAGGGUGGUGGUGCGCUCCAAGGAAGCAAGGCCCAUAUAGGAGGCCUUGAUCUGACGACGUAGCCAGUCCUCGUGCAGGGAUAGAUCCUUGCUCUCUUGCUCGGUGUUGAGCCUAAGGAGAAGCUCUCGACAGAUCGCCAACUUGAAUUUUUUUGGAUUAUGCAUCUAUCAAGUGUUAGUGUGAUGAUGUUGUUGCCUUUA